AAUAGAUACCCAGGUAGUCCACGCCGUAAACGAUGAGUGCUAAGUGUUAGGGGUUUCCGCCCCUUAGUGCUGCGAGCUAACGCAUUAAGCACUCCGCCUGGGGAGUACGGUCGCAAGACUGAAACUCAAAGGAAUUGACGGGGGCCCGCACAAGCGGUGGAGCAUGUGGUUUAAUUCGAAGCAACGCGAAGAACCUUACCAGGUCUUGACAUCCCAUUGACCACUAUGGAGACAUAGUUUUCCCUUCGGGGACAACGGUGACAGGUGGUGCAUGGUUGUCGUCAGCUCGUGUCGUGAGAUGUUGGGUUAAGUCCCGCAACGAGCGCAACCCUUGUUCUUAGUUGCCAUCAUUUAGUUGGGCACUCUAAGGAGACUGCCGGUGACAAACCGGAGGAAGGUGGGGAUGACGUCAAAUCAUCAUGCCCCUUAUGACCUGGGCUACACACGUGCUACAAUGGACGGUACAAACGGUUGCCAACCCGCGAGGGGGAGCUAAUCCGAUAAAACCGUUCUCAGUUCGGAUUGUAGGCUGCAACUCGCCUACA
rnacentral:rRNA from 1 species